rnacentral:tRNA from 1 species
GGGGAUGUAGCUCAUCUGGUAGAGCGCAGCAAUCGCACUGCUGAGGUAAGGGGUUCGAGUCCCCUCAUCUCCAC